UAUGUUGUGGUUAAACGUUACCGGUCUA
rnacentral:sRNA from 1 species